AUAAAAGGCUAGGGGAGCUAUGAUUGGAUAGUUGAGAAGUAAAGCCGUAACUUUCAGACCCUAAAAACCUGAUCAAGGUAAUUCUUGCGUAGGGAAGCUUAAUAUAGUUAAU
rnacentral:ncRNA from 2 species